rnacentral:rRNA from 1 species
GAUGAACGCUGGCGGCGUGCCUAAUACAUGCAAGUCGAGCGAAGCGGGGACGGGUGAGUAACACGUGGAUAACCUCCUAUAAGACUGGGGUAACUUCGGGAAACCGGAGCUAAACCGGCUUCUGAUAGCAGGAGUCGCGAUGCAUUAGAUAGUUGGUCAGGUAACGGCUUACCAAGGCAACGAUGCAUAGCAGACCUGAGAGGGUUAUCGGCCACACUGGAACGGAGGCACGGUCCAGACUCCUACGGGAGGCAGCAGUAGGGAAUCUUCCGCAAUGGGCGCAAGCCUGAAGGAGCAACGCCGCGUGAGUGAUGAAGGCCUUCGGAGCGUAAAGCUCUGUUAUUAGGGAGGCGGUACCUAAUCAGAAAGCCACGGCUAACUACGUGCCAGCCGCCGCGGUAAUUC